AAACGACUCUCGGCAACGGAUAUCUCGGCUCUCGCAUCGAUGAAGAACGUAGCGAAAUGCGAUACUUGGUGUGAAUUGCAGAAUCCCGUGAACCAUCGAGUCUUUGAACGCAAGUUGCGCCCGACGCCUUCAGGCCGAGGGCACGUCUGCCUGGGUGUCACGC
rnacentral:rRNA from 1 species